AACGUAACGAACCCUUCUUGAUCGCUCGCCUUCUGUCCCUCCCUGCGGACUAAAACACUGACACGUCCUCUGUUCUCUCUCUCUCUCUCUCUCUCUCUCUUCUCUGUCAUAUGUAUGCUCUGUGAGCUUUUCGCUUCUAUCGAGCGGUGAAAAUGCGAUUUCUGAGAUCUCCGAGCAUCGGAGUUUGGUUUUCCGACGCGAAUUACAGCUCGCUUUGCCCGUCCAUGAAGGUAGGGCUGAGGUGCUUCGUCACCACUUGUAGAGCAGUGGUCUUGCCACACUUCGGUGGGCCUGAAGUGCUGGAGCUCAGGCCUAAUGUUAAUAUUCCUGAUCUCAAGCCCAAUGAGGUUCUCGUCCGCGCUCGUGCUGUCUCCAUUAAUCCUCUUGAUACAAGAAUGCGUUCAGGCUAUGGUCGUUCCAUAUUUGAACCUCUUUUACCUCUCAUAUUGGGCCGUGACAUUAGCGGUGAAGUUGCGGCUGUAGGGGCUUCAGUUCGGACACUGAAUGUUGGGCAAGAAGUUUUUGGUGCGUUGCAUCCAACAGCCAUAAGGGGUACUUAUGCAGAUUAUGCAAUUCUAUCAGAAGAUGAACUUGCUCCAAAGCCAGUAUCAAUUACACAUGUGGAAGCAAGUGCCAUUCCGUUUGCUGCAUUGACUGCAUGGCGUGCUUUAAAAAGUACUGCUAGGAUAGCUGACGGACAACGGGUAUUAGUGGUCGGUGGUGGAGGAGCAGUAGGUUUUGCUGCAAUUCAGCUUGCAGUAGCUGCUGGGUGUCAUGUUACAGCUACCUGUGGUAGUCAAAGUAUCGAUAAAAUAUUGGCAGCUGGUGCUGAGCAGGCUGUUGACUAUAUUGUUGAGGACAUUGAAUUGGCAAUAAAGGGGAAGUUUGAUGCUGUCUUAGACACCAUUGGUGUACCAGAGACAGAAAGAGUAGGCAUCAAUUUUUUGAACAGAGGUGGACACUACAUGACACUUCAGGGUGAGGCAGCAUCAUUGGCAGAUAGGUAUGGACUCGGUGUCGGGCUUCCAAUAGCUACAGCUAUUCUAUUGAAAAAACAGUUUCAGUACCGGUAUUCUCAUGGAAUAGAAUACUGGUGGACUUAUAUGAGAGCUGAUUCAGAAGGUUUAGAUGAGGUUCGAAGGCUUUCUGAAGCAGGAAAGUUAAAAAUACCUGUAGAGAAGACAUUUCCAAUUGCACAAGUAAGAGAAGCUCACGAGGCAAAAGAUAAAAAGCAAAUUCCAGGAAAAGUUGUGCUAGAACUCGACUGAAGAAUAUUUUACCAGCUUGCACUACUGUUGUCUGUUUUCUGCUAUGUAAAGGGAAACAAAAAAGAUGCCACAGACUCUGGUUAGAAAGUGGUUGGCUUUAACUGACAUAUUGUUCCAGCUUCCAGGAUCAGCCAGGGGCUUCUCUAGUGCACUAACGUGGAGGACCCAUCACACUCCAUCUCAAUGAAAAUGAUGUGUCACAAUCUUGCUUCGUGUGUGAUUUUGAUGCAAAAAGGAAAGAGGGAAAAAAAUAGGGGAAAAAGGAUCGAGAAUUGUUUCAUUGUUUGGGAAAAAAGGUAAUGCAAAAGUUAAAAAAAUGACUUGUUGAGAGAGAAAAUGUUGCCCACUUUUUUUUUUUUUAAUCUUUGUGAUGAAGGAAUGACAUGCGAAAGCGAUGUGUUGGCCUAUUUUGGUUGGUGAUAAAUAAAAUUGAUAUAUAAAUUGAGACUUUA